UACGGAGGGUGCGGAGCGUUGUCCGGAAUCAUUGGGCGUAAAGGGCGCGUAGGUGGCCCGGUCAGUCCGUGGUGAAAGCGCGGGGCUCAACCCUGCGUCGGCCAUGGAUACUGCCGCGGCUGGAGCACUGUAGAGGCAGGUGGAAUUCCGGGUGUAGCGGUGGAAUGCGUAGAGAUCCGGAAGAACACCGGUGGCGAAGGCGGCCUGCUGGGUUCUGGCUGACACUGAGGCGCGACAGCGUGGGGAGCAACAGG
rnacentral:rRNA from 1 species